rnacentral:tmRNA from 1 species
AUGUCGCAAAAACGCUACAUGAAUUACUAGUUGACAUGAAUAUACAUUAGGGGUAUGAUAGAUAAAAAACGCAGAAGAAAAUUUUGCAUUAGCUGCAUAAGCUACGUCCCUCAUACUUGUGCCUACCAAGUGUGAAUGGACGUCAAACCGUAGGCUGGCUUAAUUUAGUUGUUCAUAUGAAUUAGGCGAGACAACAUGAACUGGAGUACUGUAGUUUGUCUGUGAGCGAUAGGUACUUGAGACUUAAAUCAUAGACUGUGCUCGGAGAGGUCUAUAUGGCAACGCUUUUGGACAGGAGUUCGACUCUCCUCAUCUCCACCA